rnacentral:rRNA from 1 species
GACGAACGCUGGCGGCGUGCCUAAUACAUGCAAGUAGAACGCUGAAGGAGGAGCUUGCUCUUCUGGAUGAGUUGCGAACGGGUGAGUAACGCGUAGGUAACCUGCCUGGUAGCGGGGGAUAACUAUUGGAAACGAUAGCUAAUACCGCAUAACAGUAGAUGUUGCAUGACAUUUGCUUAAAAGGUGCAAUUGCAUCACUACCAGAUGGACCUGCGUUGUAUUAGCUAGUUGGUGGGGUAACGGCUCACCAAGGCGACGAUACAUAGCCGACCUGAGAGGGUGAUCGGCCACACUGGGACUGAGACACGGCCCAGACUCCUACGGGAGGCAGCAGUAGGGAAUCUUCGGCAAUGGACGGAAGUCUGACCGAGCAACGCCGCGUGAGUGAAGAAGGGUUUCGGAUCGUAAAGCUCUGUUGUAAGAGAAGAACGAGUGUGAGAGUGGAAAGUUCACACUGUGACGGUAUCUUACCAGAAAGGGACGGCUAACUACGUG